GCAGUUUUACUUUGAAAAAAUUAGAGUGCUCAAAGCAGGCUAAAAUGCCUGAAUAUUCGUGCAUGGAAUAAUAGAAUAGGAUGUCGAUCCUAUUUUGUUGGUUUUCGGGACUCGACAUAAUGAUAAAUAGGGACAGUCGGGGGCAUUUGUAUUCAAACGACAGAGGUGAAAUUCUUGGACCGUUUGAAGACAAACUACUGCGAAAGCAUUUGCCAAGAAUGUUUUCAUUAAUCAAGAACGAAAGUUAGAGGUUCGAAGGCGAUUAGAUACCGCCCUAGUUCUAACCAUAAACGAUGCCAGCUAGCGAUCUGCCUGCGUUUUUACUGUAGACUGGGCAGGAAGCUUCCGGGAAACCAAAGCAUUUGGGUUCCAGGGGAAGUAUGGUUGCAAAGCUGAAACUUAAAGGAAUUGACGGAAGGGCACCACCAGGAGUGGAGCCUGUGGCUUAAUUUGACUCAACACGGGAAAUCUCACCAGGCCCGGACACUGGAAGGAUUGACAGAUUGAUAGCUCUUUCUUGAUUCGGUGGGUGGUGGUGCAUGGCCGUUCUUAGUUGGUGGAGUGAUUUGUCUGGUUAAUUCCGAUAACGAACGAGACUCUGUCCUGCUAAAUAGUUUCUACUCCUCUUUUGAGUAGAAAUUCUUCUUAGAGGGACUGGUGACUCUUAGUCACACGAGAUUGAGCAAU
rnacentral:rRNA from 1 species